rnacentral:snoRNA from 1 species
GCCCUCCAAUGUCCUUAUUCAUCAGCUCUAAACACUAAUCUGAGUGGCUAAAAAUGGAGAAAGAGUGAAAAUGAGACCAAUUUCAAUGCUUUUGUGGCACACGAGCUUGUUUCAAACCAUU